AUGGGACCUGCGAUGCAUUAGCUAGUUGGUAAGGGUAACGGGCUUUACCCAAGGCGAUGAUGCAUAGCCCGAGUUGAGAGACUGAUCGGGCCACAUUGGGACUGAGACACGGCCAAAACUCCUACGGGAGGCAGCAGUAGGGAAUCUUCCACAAUGGACGAAAGUCUGAUGGAGCAACGCCGCGUGAGUGAAGAAGGUUUUCGGAUCGUAAAGCUCUGUUGUUGGUGAAGAAGGAUAGAGGUAGUAACUGGCCUUUAUUUGACGGUAACCAACCAGAAGUCACGGCUAACUACGUGCCAGCAGCCGCGGUAAU
rnacentral:rRNA from 1 species